rnacentral:rRNA from 1 species
AGCGCAGACGGUUGAUUAAGUCUGAUGUGAAAGCCCGGAGCUCAACUCCGGAAUGGCAUUGGAAACUGGUUAACUUGAGUGCAGUAGAGGUAAGUGGAACUCCAUGUGUAGCGGUGGAAUGCGUAGAUAUAUGGAAGAACACCAGUGGCGAAGGCGGCUUACUGGACUGUAACUGACGUUGAGGCCCGAAAGUGUGGUAGCAAACA